rnacentral:rRNA from 1 species
GACGAACGCUGGCGGCGUGCCUAACACAUGCAAGUCGAGCGAAGAACUUCGGUUUUUAGCGGCGGACGGAUGAGUAACACGUGGGUAACCUGCCUCAAAGAGGGGGAUAGCCUCCCGAAAGGGAGAUUAAUACCGCAUAAUAUCAGGAUCUCGCAUGGGAACUUGAUUAAAGGAGCAAUCCGCUUUGAGAUGGACCCGCGGCGCAUUAGCUAGUUGGUGAGGUAACGGCUCACCAAGGCGACGAUGCGUAGCCGACCUGAGAGGGUGAUCGGCCACAUUGGAACUGAGACACGGGCCAGACUCCUACGGGAGGCAGCAGUGGGGAAUAUUGCACAAUGGGCGAAAGCCUGAUGCAGCAACGCCGCGUGAGUGAUGAAGGCCUUCGGGUUGUAAAACUCUGUCUUUGGGGACGAUAAUGACGGUACCCAAGGAGGAAGCCACGGCUAACUACGUGCCAGCCGCCGCGGUAA